rnacentral:lncRNA from 1 species
GAGUGCAAAAAAGUUUCUUCGAAGCCUCUGAGCAGACUUCAACAUGUUUCAUUGGACAAAAGCCUAUCACAUGACCACCCCUUGACGUCAGUCUGAUGAGGGGAGUAGUCAGCGUUUCUGGCCUUGAUGGAAGAUGGUUAGGGAUGUCAUGACUGGUGGGCCAGCUGGGAUGCCUGCAGCUCUCCUUCUGUAUCUGUCAUCUCCUUUGGACUGAGAGCUCUGUAAGAGCAGGGAUAUUGCUUAUUUCUUUUUUUAUUAUUAUUUUAUUUUGUGUAGAGACAGGGUCUUGCUAUGUUGCCCAGGCUAGUCUCAAUCUCCUGGGCUCAAGCAAUCCUCCCGCCUCAGCCUCCCAAAGUGCUGGGAGUGCAGGCAUGAGCUACUGCGCCCAGCCUGUUUCUUAUUUAUGACUUGGACCUGAUUAUACAGGAGUGUUGUGUCACCACCAUAGCUCUGAGUAUGUGUUUAUCUCACCAUUCUUCGCCCACUGGUUUUAGACGCUACUGGCAUUUGCUGCCUCUCCGACGACUGAGCUUCUCGUGCACAGCUCCUUCCUCAUCUUCCCUCCCUGAGCAGGUCCAUGGCAACCUUAAUUUCUCUAUUGUGAUUUUAAGUUAAUGCACCAAGCAACUAGAGAUAAUGGCACCCUCUGAAGCUCCACUUUGUAAGGGAGGCGGUCCUUGUCCCCUGCCCUGCUCUCUGGCUUUCCUGCUCCCAGGUGACAGACACACAGGCUCCUCAGACUCCGGGAGCCCAUAAGGAACCUGCAAAGGGCACAGGAAGUACACUGGAGGUCUUCGCAGAAAUUUUGUUGAGCCUGGAUUUGGGGGUUGGGCAGGUCAUGCAGGUGCGGUCCCAAGAGGGUUGAGCAGAAGUAGCUGUGCGUCCUCACCCUGACAGAACACAGAGGAUUGAGCAGAGGGACAGUGCUGGCUGGGAUACUGGCUGCACCUGCGGCCUAGAAGGGCGGGAAAGAGCUUUGGACUGAUUGAGUAGAGGCAGAGAUUUGAGAAGGGAGGGAGGAAGAGGACUGGUGUGCCCAGCUCUGAAGGCAGACCCUCUGGGACAUUUUCAGUGCUCUUCAGUUUUCUUUGAAAAGAAAAAAGGCCCAGAUCCCAGGCGCAGGCCCAUUCAUCUUCCCUGGAGUAUUCAUUCUGCUGAAUCCUGGAAAAGAUUUAUACACCAGCAGCAUUCUGUAGUGAGUGUUAUGCUGGAAUUCAAACCCAGGUCCACCUCUUUUCAAGACAAGUUCUUUUCUCAUUUCCGAGGCACCAGGGAAAAGAAAUCACUUCCCUGCACUGGUUCUGUUGGGGCCAAAAGAUCAGGAGAUGAUUGCCAUUGAAAAGGUAGUUUGUUACUCAGAGUUCCCAAGAGGAGGGAGCCCCCCACCACGCAGGGCCACAUGGGGAAGCCCCAGGGUUGAUCAGGAAGCAAAAGGAAUGGCAGGGAACUGUGGUCCAGGGCCUUUGCUGUGGUUUCCACAGGAAGAAAUGGGGAGGGGAGGGUAAGCAGGCUAAAGACUGGCUAGUGUGAAUCAUUUCAGUGGGCUCUGAGGCAUAGGAGCUGUGCCUUGCUCUCUGGUAAUUAGGGCAGAUGGACAGUGGCCUGCGUGUGAGAAGGUUGGAUGGUUGGGGGUGUGGGAUCUGGGUUGGUUGGUUUGCAUCUGAAAAGCACAGUCCCAGGUGAGAUCCUUUACUCUGUCUAGGAGUUGGCUAACCCUGGGAGGGCAGGCCCCAG